rnacentral:rRNA from 1 species
CAGCCGCCACGGGAAUACAGAGGGUGCAAGCGUUAAUCGGAAUUACUGGGCGUAAAGCGCGCGUAGGUGGUUCGCCAAGUUGGAUGUGAAAUCCCCGGGCUCAACCUGGGAAUGGCAGUGGAUACUGGCUCGCUAGAGAGUGUCAGAGGAUGGUGGAAUUCCCGGUGUAGCGGUGAAAUGCGUAGAGAUCGGGAGGAACAUCAGUGGCGAAGGCGGCCAUCUGGGACAACACUGACGCUGAGGCACGAAAGCGUGGGGAGCAAACAGGAUUAGAUACCCGCGUAGUCCCUGUCUCUUAUAA